rnacentral:rRNA from 1 species
CCUACGGGGGGCAGCAGUGGGGAAUAUUGCACAAUGGGGGAAACCCUGAUGCAGCGACGCCGCGUGAGUGAAGAAGUAAUUCGUUACGUAAAGCUCUAUCAGCAGGGAAGAAACACUGACCUUACGGUCAGCAGACGGUACCUGAGUAAGAAGCCCCGGCUAACUACGUGCCAGCAGCCGCGGUAAUACGUAGGGGGCAAGCGUUAUCCGGAUUUACUGGGUGUAAAGGGAGCGUAGACGGCGCGCCAAGUUUGGCGUGAAAUGCCGCAGCUUAACUGCGGAACUGCUUUGGAGACUGGCGAACUAGAGUGCGUGAGGGGUGGGCGGAAUUCCUAGUGUAGCGGUGAAAUGCGUAGAUAUUAGGAGGAACACCGGUGGCGAAGGCGGCUUACUGGACCGUAACUGACGUUGAGGCUCGAAAGCGUGGGGAGCAAACAGGAUUAGAUACCCGAGUAGUC